UCUGGUAGUGCUUUUAAUUAGAGUAGAAAGAGAAUGGCGAUACUCGUUAUUUACUGUUAAAAUAAUAGAACUAAGUAUAUCUCAAGUUCAAAUUCUAGCAGAGACAAAAGGUACUAGGUGGACAGAGUUACCAGUACCUGUUGUUGGUGGGAGGUGGCAAGUAUCCCGUGGAAUUAGUCGAGGUGCGUGAAAGAUAUAGCCUGGAUACCUUGGUUCCAAAAGAAAAAAAAAAGUAAGAAAAUUAAUCUGGGAAUUGAGUGACGUGUAUAAAAUCCUUGGAAAAGUAAAAAUAAAGAAUGUGGAAUCAUUUAAUUACUUCUUAUGGAUUAUAGUCUCUUUUUUUGUAUUUAUUCUGUUCCUGUUGGGUCUUCGGGAGGGCGACCGGCAGAUGUUCC
rnacentral:lncRNA from 1 species